CGCGACAUGUGGUGUGCAGUUUUGAAAUCCUCAUCUGAUGAGCUCGGUUGUGGAAAGGGCCGAUACGAGAGACGAUCAGAUGCCGGUGGGCCGUGGUGUCAGUGUAGGGGGGAAACUUGAUGUUGCUAUCCCUGUGAGCUUUUGUGAUGUGAUUGUCUCUUGUUUCAGCUGUCGUCGUCUCCCUAUACGAAGAUCCAAUCCAACCUCAGCAGGCAGCGUCUGUAGUGGAAAAGCUAGGGGAUUACUUAGUGUCCUGUGGAUACUAGAGAUAAUAUAUAGGACUGUUCUCCUGUGGUGAUAAAAGCAAAACGUCAGAAUUUUUUUUUAUUUUCUUGAAACAGCGAACAGUAAUGUGCAUCAUGGUUCCGGCUAAAAUGAUUCAGUUUGGGUUAAAACUCAUCUGGUGUAAUCUUGAACUGCAUUUUUUUUUCCUUAUUCUCAAUACCUUGUGCCCGGAUAUUUGUGACAAGCCGCGCUUGAGUGAAUGUCUGAAUUGAGGCAUUGAGCAUUUCAUGAGCUCCUCAAUCUUUUGAAUAGCCAGUUUCUCCAAGGUGCAUCUUGAAGCUCUCUUUACUCGUAUGGCAGUUUUCACUCGUUCAUCAGCUAGUAAAGGAGCCAAGGUGUGCGUUGAAGAAUUUUCAUGGACAUGAAAUUAACCAGUUUUGUAGCUGAUCCUAGUAUGCCCAUUGCAUUUGAUACUGAGUCAUUAGGAUUUUUAUAAUCUCUAGUCCUGCUCUUUCUACCCCUUCAUCCUCUUACCUAUCCCCCUUGCUGUGUGAAAAUUUCAUUGCCAGAUUUAAGACGAAAUCUGAUCCUGCUUAUAAGACCUGCUGUAUUCAUUCUCUGUCAGUGUAAAAGAAAAUUUGUCGAUCAAUUGAAAUGCUUGGGUGCAAAAUAUUGGAGUUGGGACGCAGCUGGUGUUUCCAUACCACUGCAUGCGCUAUGAUGUGAUGUAAUUUUUAUAAUGGUUUGCAGACUUUAAAUAAUGAAUUGUAAGAAGAAAAUAAAGUUUAAUUCUAAGCUACGUUUAGUUCUAUGUUGCAGAAGGAUUCUGUGAUGAAUUUAAUUCUUACUACGGUCUAAUUUAAACAGUGAUUAGCUUUGUAAACGCGGAAAAAAAUUCUAACGAUAAAAACAGUUGUCUAGCCGAGGUAAAUUUGUAUAAAGUGUGACGUAAUUUUUUGGUUGAGUGGCUGAUAUUAUUGCCUGUUGGGAUCUUCAUAGUUCCCAAUACAAAUUAUGGGGGACAUUAAUAAGCUUAUUCUUGCAACUUCUUCUUCUUUUUCCCGGUAAAGCGAUAGGACGUAGCAGUUUCUUUUACCACGUUACGUCGUUUCAUGCCGCCCUUCUCUUCCCUUCCCUUCUAAUUUCUUCAAUUCCUUAAUUAAAUCAGUGGAUGUAGAUGGAACUGCCUUGUCUUGAUAUUCCUCGCAACCAAUAUUGUGCGACAGUCAAGACUAGAGCAAAUGUGUGCCAAUUGUACAACAAUUUGAUGGGUUUAUAUGUUUUGUACUACUUGUUUGAUUGCUGUAUUCCAGUUUUUGCACAAUUAUUCAAAAAGUUUAAGAAAAACAAGAUGUACUGUUCCCCCUUUAGGGCCCCCAAUAAAAUUUAUGAAAUGAAUUGUACAUUUUUGUUCAGAUGUUUGUGUUGUUACUUGGAGUGGCUCACCACGUCAGGUCCCUUGGGAGCUUCGUCACAGAGGUGUAGGUCGUUGCGUCGAAGUAGUGUGAAUUGUAUAUAUAAAUAGAGGAAUCCAUACAGAAUGUAUCAGAGUUGUAAAUUGUGUCUGAAUUCAUUUCGGCUUUUAAUAUUUCUCGUGGGUUUAAUGAAUGUGUGGACAUGCUGCACCUUCAGGCUCGAUGGGCUCGUUGACGAUGAGGCGUUUUGAUGACCUUGAGGUCAGUUGUGUUUUUUGUGCAAACUUGUGUCAAAUACCUUGGGCAGUUUCAUGGUUCGUGCUGACCUAUGUCAUGUUCCACACGAACUGCAAGCUACUGUACAUCAUUUUUUGGUUCUGAGUAUGUGCUGAAGAACUUUUGUUGUUGAAGAUAACCUGAAAUCACUCUCAUGAGAAACUACAGCUAUUAAUUAUAUCUUGUAUAUGCAAUUAAUGUUAACUACAUCAUGGCAGUGCUUUGCAGAUGUGGGCAUUUCCUUUUUACAGCGCUAAUCUAAUAUCUAAUGUGUGUAACUGCCCAAAGGAAUGUUUGUUUGCGACGUAUCUCAUAGGUCGUUAUGGAAGAGUCUGCCCAUCCCUUGGUUGAAGGAAAUGUUUCCAUGUCACGCAAAUGUGGAAUGUGAAUCAAAGUUUAUGGUACAUUAUCUAGUGACUGAGAAAUUGGCAGAAUCACGAGUGGCUACCUUGUGCUUAUUCACUGUUGUAUACCUUGUUUUAGUGAGUCUAUAAAUAGCAGUUCCAUUUGAUUUUUAUAAGAUGCCAUAUUUAUUUAAGUAGAAACCAUAGAUGACACAUAUUUUUCCUAAUUGGUUUUGGCACAAUUUAACAUUUUUCUAAUGAUUGUAUUUUGUAUAAAAUACACAAAUAAUCACAAGUGAACAUUUUAGCUUUCUAAUUCAUAUAAAACCUAGAAAUGCUGUGGUCUAAUAGCAUUUUGUUCCUAAAAUGUGCAGGUAUAACAGCAAAUGCAUAUUCUGGAAGAAGGAAAAUAAAUGUUAAUUAAUAUACUUC